rnacentral:tRNA from 1 species
GUGGUUAUAACUCAGUGGUAGAGUAUGUGCCUAGCAUGUGUGAGGCAUUGGGUUCAAUCCUUAUUGCCACA